CGACAUCUGGAGUGCAUCUGCUGCGCCCUCUCCUGGUGCUGCUUUAAGAGGUGAGAAUCAUCGGCAGGGUCACGCAAACUGUUCGUAGCAGGAUGUGUCUCCUCGAAUAUUUCCUACUCGUCGGAUCCUCGCCUCUUAUCCAUUCCUCCUUCACCACACCUCUCCUAGUUUAGGGAAAAAGAGAGCCAGCUGCGUGCCGCACCUUACCCUAAUGGUGCGGAAAUCCGAGCAGGAGACGCAGCGUGCCUCGGGGGACUCCUGCGUAAGGUUCCCAGCCUCGGGGCGUGCCACAGUGGAAGGGAAAAAGGGUGCUAGACGAGAGUACGAGGAAUCAGAGAUGUGUUCGAACUCUUAUGGAAGUGUUGGCUCAGCAGAUCCAUCCAGCAGCGCCCUUCAAAGCCUUCGUGUCGCUCUCUGCAUCACAAUCCCCCAUGUGCUCUAGUACAACACUGCAGCAGGGGCGAUCGGGUUCAGUGGUUGUUUUUGUCAACUGCGAGGCUCCAGAGAAAAUAGGAGAUUCACAGUGAAAUAAAAAGGAAAAAAUGUUUGGA